UAUUAUGAACAAAUGAAGAAGUCUUUUAGUCUCUCAUUUCAAAGAGAAUUCUUGGGUAUUUUUCUGCUUCCUGAAGAAAAAAUGAAGCUUUCUGGUUCAUACUUUGAACAUCCCAUGAAAGGAAAAGGAACGUUUUCCUAGGUAUGGCACAGAAAAAGCUUCUCCACGCCUCAGCUGUCCAGCUCUUCUAACAGUACUGUGAAUAAGGAAGUCCAGCAGUUAACGCGUUGUGCAGAAAACAAACAUGUGGUUACCAGUAAGAAGUUUUAGUUACAGAACCUCAGGAGAGACAUGCACAAAAGAACGAGACCUCCUGUAUAAUUUGGGGAUAUACACACACCUGCACACAGCUUAAAGUAUGAAACAAGGACACCGAAAACUGAAAUACUGAUGUGCUGGAUACCUCCUUUAAUUGCUUCCUUCUGGCCCUGAAACAGCCUUCAUCUAGCGCUCAGCUUGGACUUCAAAUGAAGGAAGAAGUAUGUAAGAGAGCUGAACAGUCCGCAUGGUCUUACCUUCCAAAGUAGCAAGUUUGUUCAAGUUAACUGCUUGAUCAGGACAGAGUCCCAGUCGUGGCUUUGAGAUCUGCAGGGUUGAGGAUACAGAUUGAUAUGGGAAUAUCAUCUUUCUGUGUGGAGAAGACAAUGUUGUCAACCUUAUGCUUCUGUAAGUGUCAGAUGAAGCAAAUUUAGCCAUGCUUGUAUGCCAUGAAGAGUAAGUGUUCUAAGUCAGAGCCUCCAGCUUCACUCACAUCUG